rnacentral:misc_RNA from 1 species
UUAAAAAUGGCAAAAAAAAAAACUUAAAAUAUGGCCUUUUCUUUUGCUUUUAAAUUUUAAAAGGUUCUGAUAUAUUUUUGAUAAACAGUCAUUCAAAAAGAAACAUCAAAACACCAAUUUCAACAAGUGAGAAGUAAUAGAUUAUUCUUAAAAUGGUGAAAAUGCAAUUCAUAAACAGCCAUUUGAGGACAAAUUGAUAGUACAUAUGGGUACUUGAUACAAGUAUGCAUACAAAUUGUACUAGUUUGUAGGGACACAUUACCAAAUUUAAUUGCUUUAUAGAAAAUAAUAAUAAUAAUAAUAA